rnacentral:rRNA from 1 species
UACGGAGGAUGCGAGCGUUAUCCGGAUUUAUUGGGCGUAAAGCGAGCGCAGGUGGUUUAUUAAGUCUGGUGUAAAAGGCAGUGGCUCAACCAUUGUAUGCAUUGGAAACUGGUAGACUUGAGUACAGGAGAGGAGAGUGGAAUUCCAUGUGUAGCGGUGAAAUGCGUAGAUAUAUGGAGGAACACCGGUGGCGAAAGCGGCUCUCUGGCCUGUAGCUGACACUGAGGCUCGAAAGCGUGGGGAGCAAACAGG